UGGCUCAGUCGGUAGAGCAUGGUGUUUGCAAUGCCAGGGUUGUGGGUUUGAUUCCCAU
rnacentral:tRNA from 1 species